rnacentral:rRNA from 1 species
CCUACGGGAGGCUGCAGUGAGGAAUAUUGGUCAAUGGGCGUAAGCCUGAACCAGCCAAGUCGCGUGAGGGAUGAAGGUUCUAUGGAUCGUAAACCUCUUUUAUAAGGGAAUAAAGUGUGGGACGUGUCCUAUUUUGUAUGUACCUUAUGAAUAAGGAUCGGCUAACUCCGUGCCAGCAGCCGCGGUAAUACGGAGGAUCCGAGCGUUAUCCGGAUUUAUUGGGUUUAAAGGGUGCGUAGGCGGCCUUUUAAGUCAGCGGUGAAAGUCUGUGGCUCAACCAUAGAAUUGCCGUUGAAACUGGCGUUCUUGAGUGGGCGAGAAGUAUGCGGAAUGCGUGGUGUAGCGGUGAAAUGCAUAGAUAUCACGCAGAACUCCGAUUGCGAAGGCAGCAUACCGGCGGCCAACUGACGCUGAAGCACGAAAGCGUGGGGAGCAAACAGGAUUAGAUACCCGGGUAGUC